CUCUGAGGCUCCGCCCACCAGAUCCCGUGCACUGCUCUCAGCGGGACCCAUAGGAGGUCAGAGCUCAGAGCUGGGCAAUGAGGCUGCUUUCUCUGAGGGAGCUCAACCCCACCGUCAAGGUGCUACCACUCUGAGGCUCCGCCCAUCAGAUCCCGUGCACUGCUCUCAAUGGGACCCAUAGGAGAUCAGGGCUCUGAGCUGGGCAAUGAUGAGGCUGGUUUCUCUGAGAGAGCUCAACCCCACAGUCAAGGAGGCUUAACGGCAUUGUGAAGGUCACUCUCAGAGGGACCACGGGACCAUCAAGGUGGUCAGGGCUCUGAGCUGGGCAAUGGUGAAUGGUGACGCUGCUUUCUCCUUCUCCGAGGGAGCUCAACCCCACUGUCAAGGUGCUACCGUUUUGAGGCCUUGGGCAUCUCAGCAAUGGUAAGGCUGCAUUCUCCUAGGGAGCUCAAGCUCACUGUGCAGGGUCGGUGUCUAGAUUCGAGGCUCCUUGAGGGCAGGGAGC